CCCGGCUUGGCUUAGUCUGGCUAGAGCGGGGGACUGUAGAUCCUUAGAUCCCCAGUUCAAAUCUGGGAGCCGGGACCA
rnacentral:tRNA from 1 species